rnacentral:lncRNA from 1 species
GUAAGUUACAACGAAUUUUUUUAAUUAAAAGAAUUUAAACGAUAAAUAAAUUUAUUUAAUUUGAGUAACCAUAGUGGUUAAAAAUUUAAUUUAAUAUUUUUAUUAUAAAAAACAUUGUAAAAAUUAAUUUUUAAAAAAAUUAUAAAAUACAUUAUAUAACACAUAUAUAUAUAUAUGAGUUGGUCUAAGGGCACAAUGGGCCGCCGGAUAUUGUUUUCUUGUUGAGGCAGCAAGCACAACCAACACACUUGCAGGCGCCGCAGCACCUCAUACAGAACUUUAUGCACGCCGUUUUCUUUUUCAAUAGUUUGCAUCUAUCCCCGCACUUCUCUUUACAUGUCUCUGCAAAUUUUUAAGUCAGCAAUUAAAAGUUUCAGUUCAAACACUAAAUUAUUCAUCCCAUAAUUUUUCAAUACACAAUAUAUGCACAUAUAUACGUAAACGUGCAGUAUAUAUAUAGUACCUGGCUUGGCGACUGCAGUUUCCAAGAAAGCAGAGCAGCAGGGUUGCCAAAACGAGCUUCAUAAUCUUCAGUAUAUCGGUGAGGGAAAAUUUCCUGAGAGCUUUAUUAGUGCGAAAAUGUAGAUAAGGUAAGGUUAAGGUAAGGUUAAGUGGGUAUUUCACAAAUGUAUCAGAGAAGUCAAAUAUGGAGAUAAUUAUAUAUAUAUAUAUAUAUAUAGCUUUAGAUCUGGCAGAAGCCAAACAUUUCGAAAGGGAAAAAUCUCUGACAGCUUCAUCAGUGUUAAAGUGAAGGAUAAGGUUAAGUGGGCAC